AAACAUAACUGGUAAACAUCCCAAACAAACUCAUCAACACAAAAUGUGGUUGAUGUCCUCUCUCACCCACCCGCCAUUAACCCCCGCAUCAAGAACCCUAACAAACUCCUUAAUCUCCUUCUUCUUCAUCAAUCGAACCCCACCAAUUCGUAAUCUAAUUCAUCAAAGGGUUUCGUUUAAUUCGAAUUCAACAGCUUCCAAUCUGGACGACGAACCACAAGAAGACCACCGGCAACGAACCAAUUACGCGGGUGUUCGGCUGGCAGAGAGUGUUGAAGAAGCUGGAAAAAUGAGGCUUGAUGCGUGGAUUUCUAAUAAGAUAAGUGGCGUUAGUAGAGCUAGGGUUCAGUCCAGCAUUAAAGAGGGACUUGUAUCUGUUAAUCAUCGUGUUGUUGUUAAGGCAUCACACAUUGUAAGACACGGUGAUAAAGUUGAAUGCACAAUAUCUGAAUUACAACCUUUGAAGGCUGAAGGCGAAGAUAUAGCAUUAGAUAUCGUUUACGAAGAUGAAAACGUAUUGGUUGUUAAUAAACCUGCACAUAUGGUUGUUCAUCCAGCACCUGGAAACGCAAGUGGAACAUUAGUAAAUGGAAUUCUUCAUCAUUGCAGUCUACCGACACCUUCGUUUCAAAGUCAAGAAUUACUCUCAGAUUCUGAUGAUUUGUCUGAUGACGAGUUAGAUGAAUCCUCUUCAAAUCAGGCACACUUAAAGGAUUUCGGUUUUGAUACUAGUCAAACAGCAAUCCGUCCUGGAAUUGUGCAUAGAUUAGAUAAAGGCACCAGUGGACUGCUUGUUGUUGCAAAGGAUGAGCAUUCGCACGCCCAUUUAUCUCAACAAUUCAAGGAACACACGAUUCAGAGGAUAUAUGUGAGUCUCACUUGUGGGGUCCCAUUUCCAGCUUCGGGCCGUGUUGAUAUCCCAAUCGGUCGUGAUUUGACAAAUAGGAUUCGCAUGACUGCUGACACGGGACCCACUAAAUGUGGGAAGUCUCGUCCCGCUGCUAGUAGGUGAUUCAAGGUACCGAGUAGUGGAGGUACUUGCUGGUGGUGGAUGUGCAUUAGUCGAAUGGAGGUUAGAAACGGGCCGCACCCACCAGAUUCGAGCACAUGCAAAGUACCUUGGCAUUCCUCUAAUGGGAGAUGAGGUGUAUGGAGGUUCUAGAAACUUGGCCCUGUCACGGUUGCAGCUCAAGAACCCAUCAACCAUACAUUCUCGCCUUUCACAGCUGGUCUCAAAACUCGACAGACCUUGCCUUCAUGCUUUGACUCUUGGAUUUACGCAUCCCUGCACAGGAGAGAAAAUGCAGUUUUCAUGCUUACCUCCAGUAGAUUUUGCAGAAAUAUUAACCGGGCUUCGUAAUAUAAGCACAGAAAAGGUGAAAGGGAGCUGAUCAAGUUUUGUUCAAUACAAUUUUGGCAUUUUGAAUUAAAGAUAGCAAUCUUAUUGGGAUAUAAACUUCUACUUAAUCUUUGGAUAAUUAUAUGCAUCUGUCCCAGAGAAGAAAUAACAAAAUCUAGAGCAUUAUUGACAUGUACCUUGCGCAGUAAGAGUUGUACCUAUGGUGUCAACUGUCAAAUAAUUUAAGCUGUUUUUUUGGAUUGCAGAUCAGUCUAUUAAAUUA